rnacentral:rRNA from 1 species
GAUGAACGCUGGCGGCGUGCCUAAUACAUGCAAGUCGAGCGAACGGACGAGAAGCUUGCUUCUCUGAUGUUAGCGGCGGACGGGUGAGUAACACGUGGAUAACCUACCUAUAAGACUGGGAUAGCUUCGGGAAACCGGAGCUAAUACCGGAUGAUAUUUUGAACCGCAUGGUUCAAAAGUGAAAGACGGUCUUGCUGUCACUUAUAGAUGGAUCCGCGCUGCAUUAGCUAGUUGGUAAGGUAACGGCUUACCAAGGCAACGAUGCAUAGCCGACCUGAGAGGGUGAUCGGCCACACUGGAACUGAGACACGGUCCAGACUCCUACGGGAGGCAGCAGUAGGGAAUCUUCCGCAAUGGGCGAAAGCCUGACGGAGCAACGCCGCGUGAGUGAUGAAGGUCUUCGGAUCGUAAAACUCUGUUAUUAGGGAAGAACAUAUGUGUAAGUAACUGUGCACAUCUUGACGGUACCUAAUCAGAAAGCCACGGCUAACUACGUGCCAGCAGCCGCGGUAAUACGUAAGUGGCAAGCGUUAUCCGGAAUUAUUGGGCGUAAAGCGCGCGUAGCGGUUUUUUAGUCUGAUGUGAAAGCCCACGGCUCAACCGUGGAGGGUCAUUGGAAACUGGAAAACUUGAGUGCAGAAGAGGAAAGUGGAAUUCCAUGUGUAGCGGUGAAAUGCGCAGAGAUAUGGAGGAACACCAGUGGCGAAGGCGACUUUCUGGUCUGUAACUGACGCUGAUGUGCGAAAGCGUGGGGAUCAAACAGGAUUAGAUACCCUGGUAGUCCACGCCGUAAACGAUGAGUGCUAAGUGUUAGGGGGUUUCCGCCCCUUAGUGCUGCAGCUAACGCAUUAAGCACUCCGCCUGGGGAGUACGACCGCAAGGUUGAAACUCAAAGGAAUUGACGGGGACCCGCACAAGCGGUGGAGCAUGUGGUUUAAUUCGAAGCAACGCGAAGAACCUUACCAAAUCUUGACAUCCUUUGACAACUCUAGAGAUAGAGCCUUCCCCUUCGGGGGACAAAGUGACAGGUGGUGCAUGGUUGUCGUCAGCUCGUGUCGUGAGAUGUUGGGUUAAGUCCCGCAACGAGCGCAACCCUUAAGCUUAGUUGCCAUCAUUAAGUUGGGCACUCUAAGUUGACUGCCGGUGACAAACCGGAGGAAGGUGGGGAUGACGUCAAAUCAUCAUGCCCCUUAUGAUUUGGGCUACACACGUGCUACAAUGGACAAUACAAAGGGCAGCGAAACCGCGAGGUCAAGCAAAUCCCAUAAAGUUGUUCUCAGUUCGGAUUGUAGUCUGCAACUCGACUACAUGAAGCUGGAAUCGCUAGUAAUCGUAGAUCAGCAUGCUACGGUGAAUACGUUCCCGGGUCU